UACGUAGGGGGCAAGCGUUGUCCGGAUUUAUUUGGGCGUAAAGAGCGUGUAGGCGGCCAGGUAGGUCUGCUGUGAAAACUCGAGGCUUUAACCUCGAGCUGUCGGCGGAAACCAUCUGGCUAGAGUCCGGAAGAGGAGAAUGGAAUUCCCGGUGUAGCGGUGAAAUGCGCAGAUAUCAGGAGGAACACCGGUGGCGAAGGCAGGUCUCUGGGCAUUAACUGACGCUGAGGAGCGAAAGCAUGGGGAGCGAACAGG
rnacentral:rRNA from 1 species